GCCCGAGAACACAGUUAUUUCGUAGUGCAUUUCUUUUAAACAAUAAAUUCAAAUUAAAAAAAUCGCACCUGCUCUUUCUCAAAAAGAUUUUUACAGUGUAGUGUACUACCAGUGAGACAAAUAAUAUCAAAAUUAUAGAAACUUCUACCAGCUCUAACUCAAAAUAUUGACAAUUCUGUGUUAAGGGGGUGUAAAAUUCAG
rnacentral:lncRNA from 1 species